rnacentral:rRNA from 1 species
UACAGAGGGUGCUAGCGUUGUUCGGAAUUAUUGGGCGUAAAGGGCGCGUAGGCGGCCCUGUGUGUCGGGUGUGAAAGCCCACCUCUUAAAGGUGGAAUUGCAUUCGAAACUACAGGACUGGAGUGUCGGAGAGGAUGGCGGAAUUCCUGGUGUAGAGGUGAAAUUCGUAGAUAUCAGGAGGACAACCGAUGGCGAAGGCAGUGGUCUGGGCCGGUACUGACGCUGAGGAGCGAAAGCGUGGGGAGCGAACGAGG